UCGGGAAUUUUGGGCAAUGGGCGAAAGCCUGACCCAGCAACGCCGCGUGAAGGAUGAAGUAUUUCGGUAUGUAAACUUCGUAAGAAUAGGAAGAAUAAAUGACGGUACUAUUUGUAAGGUCCGGCUAACUACGUGCCAGCAGCCGCGGUAAUACGUAGGGACCAAGCGUUGUUCGGAUUUACUGGGCGUAAAGGGCGCGUAGGCGGUGUGUCAAGUCAGUUGUGAAAUCUCCGAGCUUAACUCGGAACGGUCAACUGAUACUGUCACACUAGAGUACAGAAGGGGCAAUCGGAAUUCUUGGUGUAGCGGUGAAAUUCGUAGAUAUUAGGAAGAACACCAGUGGCGAAGGCGGCUCACUGGAUCGGUACUGACGCUGAGGUGCGAAAGCGUGGGGAGCAAACAGGAUUAGAUACCCGCGUAGUCCCUGAGCGGGCUGGCAAGGCGCAU
rnacentral:rRNA from 1 species